rnacentral:lncRNA from 1 species
CAUGACCAGACCCCGCAUUGCUGUCCCACCCCUCCAACAGCUUUCCACCAGCACCUCCCAAUGUGCAGCUCUGGGAGGGCGGGCAGCCCUGGCAUCUCCCUUUCUGCCUCCUUCUCUGGCUUUCACCCCAUGCACCCCAGGCUCCACCUGCUCGUUUGUAGACUGCAAUGCUGAGAGGCAGCAUUUUUUGGCCAAAUACUGGGUUUUGCCAAGCCUGUCCCUCCAAGUGAUGUGCACUCUGCUGCACGUGGCACUGCUAGUCAGUUCAUUAUCCUAUUAGAUUCCCACACAGCACCUGCUCAAUUGGAGCCUCGUGUGCUGGCAAUUAAUAUGUUAUGCCCUGAUUAAUUAGCAGGGUUAAUUAUGAUUGCUGUUGCUUAAACCUAUGUAGAGAGAGAUGGCAUCAUGUUGCUGUGACUCGCAGUGCUGAGGAUGCACCCCUGGGAAUUGGGACCAGCACGUGUUAGCAGCCGUCUGUCCCUGUGGGACACGUUUGCUUGUUCCUGCAGUGUUGCAAGCCUGGGAGUCGUGUCCCCGCUUGUUCUGAUUAUUGUUUCCUUAAAGGGUGGCACCUCUCUGCUACUGGAUGAUGAAAAUGAACCUAACCAGUUGGUGCCACAGGCACUGAAGGGAAUGAGGUCUCCUGCAUUUUUGCCUAUGUUUUAUCCAGUGGAACAUAAAGUGCAUUAUUUACAAGCUUCACAGGUGCAGGUGCUGGUGUCCACAGUGGCAAGCCACAGCCAGGUGCUGCCGCAGCUUGGGAACAGGGGGAUCUGGAUGCAAGCAGCAAAGCCAAGGGGGUCAGGCAGGCACCACAGGAGGAACUUCUCAGCUUGGCAGCCAGAAAAGCUAGACAAGAACAGCACAGGUAAGAUCAACCCCCCAUCUACCCCCCUUCCUCCUUCCCCCUUCCCCCCUCCCCACACAGAGCUGAGCAUCACCAGUUGCCUGUUAAGCUUUUGAUUUGUCUGCGUGUGAAAUAGUGAGACUUGGGGCCUUUUUGGCAGUUGUGAGUGAGAGAUGACCACCCUUCUCAUUGACUUAUCCUUUUGAAGCUAUCAUCACUCAUUUCUCUUGGGAAGAGAAUGUGAGGCACUGGUAAAUAAUAUAGGAUUGUGUAUUUCUUUAUCUCCCAUAGUGUGUUGUCUCCUACAUGCUGUUCUGUUCUAACAACAUCCAUCAAGACAAAUGCAUACCUGAGCACAGCCUCCCUCAAACCUCAGAAAUCUUUUUCUGAGGUCACAAACUACAAAAAAAGACAAAGAAGAAACAAGAAGGAAAUUGUGCAAACAAUUAAGUAUUUUUUUUUCAAGAGACAUAGAGGAUUCCCCUUGUCUGCACAAGGCAAGCACCAAAAUAAGAAUGCCACAUCUCAAACACAAGGCAAUCUAUUAUUCUCAGAGCAGUAACAUGAUACAUUAUCAGCCACCUUAUCCUAGCAAAAUGUAUCAUUACCUGCACUUUCUGCACUUUCCAGAUCAAUCCACUUUAAAAAUGUAGUAAUAUAGAAGGGUAUUAGGUACUAGAAAACUCAUUAUGAAAAUGGCGCACUCAAAUUCUUUAAAGGUGAUAUUUCAUAAAAUAUACUAUGCCUAGCUCUUGGCUCAAUCAUUCUUUUUAAUAGCUCCAUAGCAGCCAGAAAAUAAAGUAUUCAUGAAGAUUGAAGAAGAUGAUCCC